rnacentral:rRNA from 1 species
UGGGGAAUAUUGCACAAUGGAGGGAACUCUGAUGCAGCGACGCCGCGUGAACGAAGAAGGCUUUCGAGUCGUAAAGUUCUUUUCUAUGGGAAGAAAAUGACAGUACCAUAGGAAUAAGGACCGGCUAAUUACGUGCCAGCAGCCGCGGUAAUACGUAAGGUCCGAGCGUUGUCCGGAAUCAUUGGGCGUAAAGGGUACGUAGGCGGGUAAGCAAGUUAGAAGUGAAAUCCUAUAGCUCAACUAUAGUAAGCUUUUAAAACUGCUCAUCUUGAGGUAUGGAAGGGAAAGUGGAAUUCCUAGUGUAGCGGUGAAAUGCGCAGAUAUUAGGAGGAAUACCGGUGGCGAAGGCGACUUUCUGGCCAUAACCUGACGCUGAGGUACGAAAGCGUGGGUAGCAAACAGG